rnacentral:rRNA from 1 species
UACGUAGGGUGCAAGCGUUGUCCGGAAUUAUUGGGCGUAAAGAGCUCGUAGGCGGCUUGUCGCGUCGGCUGUGAAAACCCGGGGCUCAACCCCGGGCCUGCAUUCGAUACGGGCAGACUAGAGUUCGGUAGGGGAGUCUGGAAUUCCUGGUGUAGCGGUGAAAUGCGCAGAUAUCGGGAGGAACACCGGUGGCGAAGGCGGUUCUCUGGGCCUUACCUGACGCUGAGGAGCGAAAGCAUGGGGAGCGAACAGG